rnacentral:misc_RNA from 1 species
GGGAGAAGGGGGGAGUACACACACACCCCUCUCGGUGCGUGGUGUCUCAGGGCCCAGUGCCCCCACUCUGUGUGGGGAAGCCACGCAGCCCCCACCUAACCCCUGCCAAUGCCGAACCACCUCUGGUGGUGGCAGGGGCAAGCACCUACGAGCUGGGGGGGUCAGAGCGCUUCAUCGCCACGGAUAUCGGCGGUCGGGUCCUGGACGGCGGUGCGUCAGAGCGGGCUGCGACAGCGCACGCGUCCGUGCCACCCAUGUGAUGGACAGCGUGUCAGCGUGACUCGAGCUAUCCCACGCCGGGCCGUCGCACUGCCUGCUGGCGCGGAGAGCCUGAGCGCCGCCCCGAGGGUCGCGCCACGCGAUGGGGGCCCGUGACAGGUCGACUGGAGUGUAACUCAUGUUGGACGGUACAGAGUGGUCACGCGGAGAAAGAAAAGAAACACCCCUUUCUGCAUCUUUGAUGCUGCGCGCUGCUCUUCAUUUUUCUGCCAGCGCACCGUUGCGCUAGGAACUCACAACUUAUUUUCAGCGGCAAGAAUGAGCACUGCAGCCAGGCUUUACUGCAUGAGUGAAGGCAAAGGAACGCCGAUAGUGUGAGGCGCUCAUGUGCGGGCGUUUGCGUUUGCUGUGGCUGCCCUUCGAGCGUGAGUGUGGGAGCGUCUCCGCUUCUGCAGAUUUCGGCUCUCGCGUCGGCAUUACUUUUUUCUGCGCUUCCUCUCCGCGGCUCUAUGUGUUGUGUCGAUGUGAUGCAUCGAUGGAGGGGCGCCGUCCGUGUAAGCGAGACAGUACAGGAGCGAAGCUUUUCUCUGCCCCUUUUUCUGCUUCUUAGCUUCAUGUUGACGAUGCAAGGCACGCUGUCUCCUUCCUGCACAGACCCUGACGCGCACGCAGCGGCUUUCGGUAAAGGCCUUCAUCUUUCUCACCUGCUCGAUUCCUUCCUCUGUUUCUCACGAUGAGACGUACUUCCACACGUACUCUGCCACCUCAAACGUAAAG